CACACACACACACUCGUGUACACUCACACACUCGUGUACACUCUCACAUACACACUGUCACACACUCUCACACACACACACACACUCACACACACACUGUCACACACACUCGUGUACACUCACACACUCGUGUACACUCUCACAUACACACUGUCACACACACACACUCUCACACACACACACACACACUCGUGUGCACUCACACCGAUCUCCGUAACUCAAACAGCAUCCACCCCCCCCCUCCCCCCUCCCCCGAAGCCUUCUCCGUCCCUCUGUGCGCAGCUGCCUUCCCUCUGAGGGUCGUCUUUCACAUUUCCCUGCAGUUGCCCUCAGAGUGCGGAGUGAGACACACGCACGUUCCACUCACUGUGCCUGAUCUGCGCGGCGCUGGGGACUGAACCUAGAGCCUCGAGCUCGCUAGACAGACACUCUGGAGCCGGGGCCACAUCCCCGCCGCUGAGGGGGUUUGUAAUCAAAGCUUGAAGACAGAAAGCACAAGUGUUUCUAGUUGACCCAAGGCGACCCCAGGGGAGUUAUUGGCUGGAGGAGACCCCAGGGCAGUGAUUGGCUGGAGGAGACCCCAGGGCAGUGAUUGGCUGGAGGAGACCCCAGGGCAGUGAUUGGCUGGAGGAGACCCCAGGGCAGUGAUUGGCUGGAGGUGACCUGCUGGACAGUGAUUGGCUGAAUCGCUGUUUUUUUAUAUAAAGAAUGCUCAAUGCUUUGGAUUCACUGGAGUUAUAAACCGGAUGCUGCGGCUUCUAGGAGUUUAGCCUGCGGUUCGAAGUAAAGGUUUGUGUGUUUUGUAGCAUUUACUGUGUGCACACACGUGCCCAGUAAUGCACUGUGCAGGUCAGAGAGGGUUUGCAGGAGUCAGUACCCUCUUUCAUCCCAUGGGUCCCAUCGAACUGAGGACCUCAGGUUUGGCAGCAAGCACCCUUACCCAGCAGGCCAUCUCAGUGGUCCCUGAGAUGAGGUUUUGGCAUACAUACAUUUGAGGUAGGGUACUGGGGACUGAACCUAAGCCCUCUAGCACUCAGCUAUGGAC
rnacentral:lncRNA from 1 species